rnacentral:misc_RNA from 1 species
UUAACGAUUGUUAUUAUUAACAUGAUUCAGACAGAUGGCAAGAUAAUACAAAUGGUUUGUGGGAGACCUCCCGCAGGUGACCACAGCCGACUAGUACGGGCUGGGUAAAGCCUGAAAGGCGAUUUGGGACGCAGUGCCCAAACCCGGCCUGCGGAAGCAACAGGAAUGAUACGCAGAGUGUGUUAGAAUUGUAGCUCUGGGCUUACGACGAAGCUUAGUACAGAUUCUUCUAAUGAUCCUUCCGCAGGUUCACCUACGGAAA